rnacentral:misc_RNA from 1 species
UAGCCAUUUCUAAUUUUCCUUACUAUGAAUUUGUGGACCGGGCUUCCAUGUACAAAGUUGGGUCCUUGUUUUAUGCCAUCUACUUCAUAGUAAGCUUCCCAAUGUUUUUGAGGAUCGAUGAGAAACCUGGUGACUUGUGGGACUUACCAAGGGUAGCUGUCGAUGCUCUGGGUGCUGCAAUGCUAGUAACAAUAAUACUUGACUUGUGGAGAAUCUUUCUUGGACCCG